rnacentral:rRNA from 1 species
GACGAACGCUGGCGGCGUGCUUAACACAUGCAAGUCGAACGGAAAGGCCCUGCUUUUGUGGGUUGCUCGAGUGGCGAACGGGUGAGUAACACGUGAGUAACCUGCCCUUGACUUUGGGAUAACUUCAGGAAACUGGGGCUAAUACCGGAUAGGAGCUCCUGCUGCAUGGUGGGGGUUGGAAAGUUUCGGCGGUUGGGGAUGGAAUCGCGGCUUAUCAGCUUGUUGGUGGGGUAGUGGCUGACCAAGGCUUUGACGGGUAGCCGGCCUGAGAGGGUGACCGGGGACAUGGGGACUGAGAGACGGACCAGACGCCUACGGGAGGCAGAAGUGGGGAAUCUUGCACAAUGGGCGGAAGCCUGAUGCAGCAACGCUGCGUGCGGGAUGACGGCCUUCGGGUGGUAAACCGCUUUCGCAUGUGACGAAGCGUGAGUGACGGUAAUGGGUAAAGAAGCACCGGCUAACUACGUG